rnacentral:lncRNA from 1 species
UUGGUCCCCCUGGACAGCUGGGACCCCAGGGAGAGAUGGGUUUGCAGGGGGAGAAAGGUCUGCCGGGCCGGGCUGGACCUCCUGCUAGGAAGAGUGAUAGUCAAAUACAAGUGGAGUACCUGUGGGGUCCGUUCGGGGAACCGGGGAUAAAGGGAGAGACGGGCCCACCUGGAGAGCCAGGUAUCCCUGCUCUCAGCCCCGGACCCCCAGGUAUCGGCGGAAUAUCUGGGUUGAGGGGCCCACCUGGACCACCAGGAUCAUGGGCGGACUUCUACAAGGGAUUUGCUGGGUCGAGAGGGCGGCCAGGCUCUGCGGGGAGAAAAGGACUGAAAGGUUAGAGUGUGUGAUUAUUCAGACAUGUAAUCCGUGAUGUACGUUUGUGCGCUGAAUGCUCACAUGUUAUGUCUUACAGUACAGCUGAUCUGAGUUGUGUAUGUGUUUUAGGUGAUCACGGGUUGUGUGAGUGUAACAUUGUCCACUCUCCUCCGGGCCUGCCUGGCCCUGCUGGCAGCCAAGGCGACCCUGGAAUGAGUGGCGAGUUUGGUCAGCAGGGCGAGCCAGGCGAGCCAGGACCCCAAGGUGUCAUCGGACUGCCUGGGUUCCCUGGUGCCACAGGACAACCGGGUCCAAAGGGCAGGAAGGGCGAGUUAAUUUGGGCCAAAGAGAAAGGUGGAGCAUUUCUUAUUCUUUCACUUUCACACACUUGUAUAUCCUUUAUACAGUGGUGAGUGUGAGACACCAUUAAGCAAGUGUAUGUGUAAAUGAGUGCGUUUGUGUGUGAACUCUACAGGAUAUGCCGGGGACCCAGGAGACCCGGGUGCGACUGGUGACCCAGGAUUGCAAGGCUUCCCUGGGCCAAGAGGGAUCAAUGGAUUCCCUGGGAACCGUGGUCUUUCAGUAAGUGGCCUACUAGUGCAACAUAAUACCCACUAAAGACCCAUUCUUGUCUUUCCCACCAUCUACUUUCU